GGGUUGUGAGGUUAAGCGACUAAGCGUACACGGUGGAUGCCCUGGCAGUCAGAGGCGAUGAAGGACGUGCUAAUCUGCGAAAAGCGUCGGUAAGGUGAUAUGAACCGUUACAGCCGGCGAUGUCCGAAUGGGGAAACCCAGUGCAAUUCGUUGCACUAUCGUUUGAUGAAUACAUAGUCAAACGAGGCGAACCGGGGGAACUGAAACAUCUAAGUACCCCGAGGAAAAGAAAUCAACCGAGAUUCCCCCAGUAGCGGCGAGCGAACGGGGAGCAGCCCGGAGUCUGAAUCAGCUUGUGUGUUAGUGGAAGCGUCUGGAAAGUCGCAGGGUACAGGGUGAUACUCCCGUACACUAAAACACACAGGUUGUGAACUCGAAGAGUAGGGCGGGACACGUGGUAUCCUGUCUGAAUAUGGGGGGACCAUCCUCCAAGGCUAAAUACUCCUGACUGACCGAUAGUGAACCAGUACCGUGAGGGAAAGGCGAAAAGAACCCCGGCGAGGGGAGUGAAAAAGAACCUGAAACCGUGUACGUACAAGCAGUAGGAGCCCACUAGUUGGGUGACUGCGUACCUUUUGUAUAAUGGGUCAGCGACUUAUAUUCUGUAGCAAGGUUAACCGUAUAGGGGAGCCGCAGGGAAACCGAGUCUUAACUGGGCGUUAAGUUGCAGGGUAUAGACCCGAAACCCGGUGAUCUAGCCAUGGGCAGGUUGAAGGUUGGGUAACACUAACUGGAGGACCGAACCGACUAAUGUUGAAAAAUUAGCGGAUGACUUGUGGCUGGGGGUGAAAGGCCAAUCAAACCGGGAGAUAGCUGGUUCUCCCCGAAAGCUAUUUAGGUAGCGCCUCGUGAAUUCAUCUUCGGGGGUAGAGCACUGUUUCGGCUAGGGGGUCAUCCCGACUUACCAACCCGAUGCAAACUACGAAUACCGAAGAAUGUUAUCACGGGAGACACACGGCGGGUGCUAACGUCCGUCGUGAAGAGGGAAACAACCCAGACCGCCAGCUAAGGUCCCAAAGUCAUGGUUAAGUGGGAAACGAUGUGGGAAGGCCCAGACAGCCAGGAUGUUGGCUUAGAAGCAGCCAUCAUUUAAAGAAAGCGUAAUAGCUCACUGGUCGAGUCGGCCUGCGCGGAAGAUGUAACGGGGCUAAACCAUGCACCGAAGCUGCGGCAGCGACACUAUGUGUUGUUGGGUAGGGGAGCGUUCUGUAAGCCGUUGAAGGUGGCCUGUGAGGGUUGCUGGAGGUAUCAGAAGUGCGAAUGCUGACAUAAGUAACGAUAAUGCGGGUGAAAAACCCGCACGCCGGAAGACCAAGGGUUCCUGUCCAACGUUAAUCGGGGCAGGGUGAGUCGACCCCUAAGGCGAGGCCGAAAGGCGUAGUCGAUGGGAAACAGGUUAAUAUUCCUGUACUCGGUGUUACUGCGAAGGGGGGACGGAGAAGGCUAUGUUGGCCGGGCGACGGUUGUCCCGGUUUAAGCGUGUAGGUGUGUGUUCCAGGUAAAUCCGGUUCACUUUAACACUGAGGCGUGAUGACGAGGCACUACGGUGCUGAAGUGACAAAUGCCCUGCUUCCAGGAAAAGCCUCUAAGCAUCAGGUAACAUCAAAUCGUACCCCAAACCGACACAGGUGGUCAGGUAGAGAAUACCAAGGCGCUUGAGAGAACUCGGGUGAAGGAACUAGGCAAAAUGGUGCCGUAACUUCGGGAGAAGGCACGCUGAUGGUAAGUGAAGCGACUUGCUCGUGGAGCUGAAAUCAGUCGAAGAUACCAGCUGGCUGCAACUGUUUAUUAAAAACACAGCACUGUGCAAACACGAAAGUGGACGUAUACGGUGUGACGCCUGCCCGGUGCCGGAAGGUUAAUUGAUGGGGUUAUCCUCGCGGAGAAGCUCUUGAUCGAAGCCCCGGUAAACGGCGGCCGUAACUAUAACGGUCCUAAGGUAGCGAAAUUCCUUGUCGGGUAAGUUCCGACCUGCACGAAUGGCGUAAUGAUGGCCAGGCUGUCUCCACCCGAGACUCAGUGAAAUUGAACUCGCUGUGAAGAUGCAGUGUACCCGCGGCAAGACGGAAAGACCCCGUGAACCUUUACUAUAGCUUGACACUGAACACUGGUCCUUGAUGUGUAGGAUAGGUGGGAGGCUUUGAAGUGUGGACGCCAGUCUGCAUGGAGCCAUCCUUGAAAUACCACCCUUUAAUGGCUGGUGUUCUAACGUGGGCCCCUAAUCGGGGUUGCGGACAGUGUCUGGUGGGUAGUUUGACUGGGGCGGUCUCCUCCUAAAGAGUAACGGAGGAGCACGAAGGUCAGCUAAUCCUGGUCGGACAUCAGGAGGUUAGUGCAAUGGCAUAAGCUGGCUUGACUGCGAGCGUGACGGCGCGAGCAGGUGCGAAAGCAGGUCAUAGUGAUCCGGUGGUUCUGAAUGGAAGGGCCAUCGCUCAACGGAUAAAAGGUACUCCGGGGAUAACAGGCUGAUACCGCCCAAGAGUUCAUAUCGACGGCGGUGUUUGGCACCUCGAUGUCGGCUCAUCACAUCCUGGGGCUGAAGUAGGUCCCAAGGGUAUGGCUGUUCGCCAUUUAAAGUGGUACGCGAGCUGGGUUUAGAACGUCGUGAGACAGUUCGGUCCCUAUCUGCCGUGGGCGCUGGAGAAUUGAGGGGGGCUGCUCCUAGUACGAGAGGACCGGAGUGGACGCAUCACUGGUGUUCGGGUUGUCAUGCCAAUGGCAUUGCCCGGUAGCUAAAUGCGGAAGAGAUAAGUGCUGAAAGCAUCUAAGCACGAAACUUGCCCCGAGAUGAGUUCUCCCUGACUCCUUGAGAGUCCUGAAGGAACGUUGAAGACGACGACGUUGAUAGGCCGGGUGUGUAAGCGCAGCGAUGCGUUGAGCUAACCGGUACUAAUGAACCGUGAGGCUUAACCUUACAACGCCGAAG
rnacentral:rRNA from 1 species